rnacentral:lncRNA from 1 species
CUUUGUGAAAAGUACCUUUGACUUCGUGCAUUUUUAUUUUAAGGAAGAUUUCAUCUUAGCCCGAGGUUUUAUUUAGCUCUUGGAUCAAAAUGAAGCCUUUCUAACUGUGUGAAGAAAGCAUUUGGAGGACACGAACAUCUUUUAUUUUUAUUUUUCUGAAAUCUUGGGCACUCUGCCAGUAGGCAGCUACAGACAGCCACGAAGGGAGUUAGGCUGUGAGCGGGUUCUCAUGGAUUAGUUCGUAUUUCCCUCUUGAAAACCUCGCUACAGCUCAAGCACGAGCAGGCAGGGCGGGAGGGAGGCUCCCGCACCGCCACUCCUCCGCCCAGGUCACGGACGUGCGCUUUCCGGCUCUGCCUUCCCAAGCUUACUCCAAGGCAGAGAGCAGCGUCCCCGAGCGUGUCGAGGUCUAAAAGGCUCUGACUAAAAUCCUGCCGCGUCCUCAGCCUCCGAAAGUGCAUCCCUCCGUCUCCCCUCACCCAGCGUCCUUGGGGGACACCCCUCCAGAGCGUACCCCUGCCUGCUACGGAGGCCCCGGUCUCACCCACGUCCAGCCAACUCCUGGACCCGAUUUGGGCGAGCGCAGCCGGGACCCCUCUGCUCCGGGCUUUUUAUUCGCGGCCCCUCCUCGUGCCUGUUCCCAGCCUUGCUCCUAGCAGCCCCCGCCAGCAGUGCACCGACCUACAGGAAAGUUGCUCGGGAGCUGUGGAGGGGCGUCAUCGCCUCCUAGCAACGCUCCUAGCAACCGGGUAACAUCUGCUCCCUCUGGGCCAAUGCGAGCGCAGAGCUGCGCGCCCGCCUCGCGUUCUGAACCCAGAGAGAGCGUCUCCGGAGAGCGGAGGGACGGACCUGCCGGAGCCAGGGCUGCCCCGAGCUGCAGCCGCCGCCGCCGCCUCCGCCGCCGCUCUCAGCGCCCUCUGAAGAGCGACAGCGCCGCAGAAGCCCGAGGAGCAGCAACCCCGCACCUUUCCCAAACAGGUGCCUGCGCGAUCGCCCGCCCGGUCCGGGCCCCAGCUCUCAGAUCUCAGGUAACCAUUCAUGAGCCUGAGGCUGUGAGAAAUGCCCGCUGUGCAAAGGGGAACUCUUACCAGAUUUUCUGAAGCUGUCCCAGAAAUACAUUUCUCAGAUUGAGUCAGCAUUACCAGCUUAUCCAACAAAAGUACUAACAUAUUCAUUAACAACGUCGAAAGUAGCCUACUUUAAGAGAAAAUAUGCAGAAGAAGAAGAUUUACAUCAGGAUUACCAUGGGUAUUUUCCAAAA